UGCAUAUUUCGCCAUGGCCCCUAACGGUGAAUGCGAGCAUUCACCUACCGGGUAAGAGGAAGCUCGACCGCCCCUUCAAGCGAUGAUCUCCUUCAUCGACGAACACCGUAGCGUGUUCGGGGUCGAGCCGAUCUGCAAGCUGCUGCCGAUUGCCCCA
rfam:Rhizobium sp. Leaf306 contig_3, whole genome shotgun sequence.